rnacentral:rRNA from 1 species
UCGAGGGGCAGCAUUUACUUCGGUAAGAUGGCGACCGGCGAACGGGUGCGUAACGCGUAUGCAACCUACCUUAAACAGGGGAAUAGCCCAGAGAAAUUUGGAUUAAUGCCCCAUAACAUUAUGAUGCCGCAUGGUAUUAUAAUUAAAACUCCGGUGGUUUAAGAUGGGCAUGCGUGACAUUAGUUUGUUGGUGAGGUAACGGCUCACCAAGACUACGAUGUCUAGGGGUUCUGAGAGGAUGAUCCCCCACACUGGUACUGAGACACGGACCAGACUCC